CGCCAGACUCCUACGGGAGGCAGCAGUGGGGAAUAUUGCACAAUGGGGGAAACCCUGAUGCAGCGACGCCGCGUGAGUGAAGAAGUAUUUCGGUAUGUAAAGCUCUAUCAGCAGGGAAGAAAAUGACGGUACCUGACUAAGAAGCCCCGGCUAACUACGUGCCAGCAGCCGCGGUAAUACGUAGGGGGCAAGCGUUAUCCGGAUUUACUGGGUGUAAAGGGAGCGUAGACGGCAUGGCAAGUCAGAUGUGAAAGCCCGGGGCUCAACCCCGGGACUGCAUUUGAAACUGUCAGGCUGGAGUGCAGGAGAGGUAAGUGGAAUUCCUAGUGUAGCGGUGAAAUGCGUAGAUAUUAGGAGGAACACCAGUGGCGAAGGCGGCUUACUGGACUGUAACUGACGUUGAGGCUCGAAAGCGUGGGGAGCAAACAGGAUUAGAUACCCGGGUAAU
rnacentral:rRNA from 1 species